rnacentral:rRNA from 1 species
AUAUUGGUCAAUAGCCUAACGGCUGAACCAGCAACUUGGAGGAAUGUAUGGCAAUAGCUGGUUGCAUUAACAAAAAGUUAGUGUAAGAUCGACUCUGUCGAAUAAAAUUGUAGAUAGAAUUAUGAUAAUGACAUUAUCUAUCUAUGUGUCUUGACCAAAUUACGUGCCAGCAGUCGCGGUAAUAGGUAAAAGACUAGUGUUAUUCAUCUUUAAUAGGUUUAAAGGGUAUUUAGACGGUAAAUUAAGCCGGGAUAGGGAACUAAUAUACUAGAGUUUGAUGUAAGGAAGCAUGAAAGUACUGUUGGUGUAGAGAUAAAAUUCUAUCAUACCAAAUAUGGCACAGGUUUUGGGGAAAGCAUCUUCUUAUGUAAUAACUGACGUUGAAGGACGAAGGCUUUGUGUCGCGAACAGGAUUAGAUACCCCAGUAGUCUAAGCAGACAACGAUGAAUGUCAUAGAUUAGAUUUAAUUUAUUCUAUAAAUUAAAGUGUAAGCAUUCCACCUCAAGAGUAAUUUGGCAACGUUGGAACUGAAAUCUUUAGACCGUGUCUGAAACCAUUAGUGAAUUACUUUAUUUAAUUCCAUAACCCCCCC